UACUACAUUAACUGUUAGCUGGAAUUGCACAAAUUUUUGAAUGUUUCUAUAAACUGCACGCCCCCAUUUAGCAACAUUUACAAUGGUUGUAAAAUUGUCAUCCAUUAUAAUGACAUCAGCAUUCUCUCUUGCAACCUGCAAAUAGCAUCCAUAUAGAAAGGUAAGAUCAAAUGUGAGGCUACAUGAUAAAGUUUGCAUCAAUGAUUCUCAUAAAUAAAAUGCAAAUCAGGUGCACUAAAAAGAGGGGAAAAAAAAGUUAUAUCUAAGUGGUUUCAAAGUAGCUAAGGGCCAUAAAAACUAUUGUCUCGGUUAAAAUCAACUAAGUUGCAUAAACCUCAGAGCUCAAACCUCAACACAAGAUAUGCUGGAAUAGAAGUACCGCCAUAUCUGUAAGAGGAUAUUAGGCUGUGAAAAUGUAAAACAAGGUGAAAGGAUGAUAUUUACAACAUUCCUGAAUGAAAGUUUAUACAUAUUUAUUUUAGUUAUAUAAAUUAGAUCCUCAAUAGAAGGUGUUGGGCAAUAAGUUAGUUAAAUAAGAUUUUCUCUAAUAGGAAUACCGUGCAACGAGCUUCAAGUGUUUUUUUUCUUUUUCUUUUUUUCUUUUUUCCGUUAAUGUCCAACAUCCAAAAAUGGAGGUUGGAAGAAAAAUAUUGCAGCACCUCCUCAAGUUCACAAAUCAUUCCAAGAAGAAACUAAUUCAUAUUUUCAUUCAUUAGCAGGUAGCAGAAAAGGCAAUGAACAACAGUGUUAUAAUGGAAGGGACAAGGAAUAAAAAUAAAUCACCUUCAUACUACAAUUAAUAACAGAAAUGAGACUAGAACACAUGUUUUUUUUCUUUUCUUGGCUGAAAAAUCUAGAGUAUUUGAACAUUGAUUAAAUUUGAGAUCAUAUGUAUAAGAAAUCUAAAGACAAUAUUGUGAUAUAUAUUAUGUCAAGACAUGCAAAGUUUGUUAUUCAAGAUGUAAACAGCAUGAAAAGCAAAAUAAAACACUAACAAUCUUUUGAAAAAAUAAGCUUAUAACAAAUAUAUUACAGGGAUGGAAAUACAC
rnacentral:misc_RNA from 1 species